rnacentral:ncRNA from 1 species
GAUACUAGUAAAACUGUUGAAAAGCAGUGACACAAAGCUACAGGGUCUAAAACCGUCAGGUUAUGACAGCCAGCUGCCGAA